GACGAACGCUGGCGGCGUGCUUAACACAUGCAAGUCGAACGGAAAGGCCCCUUUGGGGGUACUCGAGUGGCGAACGGGUGAGUAACACGUGAGUAACCUGCCCUUGACUUCGGGAUAACUUCAGGAAACUGGGGCUAAUACCGGAUAGGAAUCCUUGCUGCAUGGUGGGGGUUGGAAAGCUUCGGCGGUUUUGGAUGGACUCGCGGCUUAUCAGCUUGUUGGUGGGGUAGUGGCUUACCAAGGCUUUGACGGGUAGCCGGCCUGAGAGGGCGACCGGCCACAGUGGGACUGAGAGACGGCCCAGACGCCGACGGGAGGCAGCAGGGGGGAAGAUUGCACAAGGGGCGGAAGCCGGAUGCAGCAACGCCGCGGGCGGGAGGACGGCCUUCGGGUUGGAAACCGCGUUCAGCAGGGGCGAAGCUUGUGGUGACGGUACCUGCAGAAGAAGCACCGGCUAACUACGUG
rnacentral:rRNA from 1 species